AGAAAAGAAUAUUCUAAAAGUAAAUGUAAUAAAAAAAAAAGACAAAUAAAAUGAAAAAGAAUUAUCUUAUCUGUCUAUUGACAAAACUCAUCUCUCUCUCUCAUUUUAUUUUUUAGCUCAAUUUUAUUAAAUAAAAUCCUUAAUAUCCAGUCAAGUAAUGUCACAUGAUGCUGAAUAGAUAAGAAUAAAAAGAAUUCAAGAAUAAUAUAGAAACCUUUAGAAGAUGUUAAAAUGUUUUUAUUUAUCUAAAAAAAUAUAUUUUAAGAAUAUUUAAAAAAUUCUGUAAAAAAAUCAAAAUUAUGAAAGAAAACUCAAAAUAAAAAAUCAAACCAAUCUAGAAAAUUUUGAGGCAAAUAACGUUAUAAAUCGAACUACCCAAAUUUUUUAUUUUUUUCUUCUUAUUUUUCGUUUCAUUAUCUUCGAUCCCUAACAAAGAUGAUGCGUAACAUCGAUCUAGGCUUGGUGAGGGGUUAGAUUGCAUCUCCAAUCUUCUCCAUAAUCCCUCUAUUCUUUCUUUUCACUCUAUUUCUUUCAUCAAGCACACAACCUACAUGAAUCAUACAAAUUUCUGCUUAAAUCAACUUAUCAACUUUAUAAAAAGCAAUCACAAAAUUAUUGUUUCUCAUUUUUUUUAAAGAAAAAAGAUUUUUCAAGCUUUUUAUCUUAAAAUUAAAAUAAAAUAAAUAAUACAACAUAGAGCAUAUGAAGAAUAAAACAGGCCUUAAACAGUCCAUAUACCUAUACACCACAACAUUUACAAUCAAAAUUAAAAAAAAAAGUUUUUUGCAAAAUCAAAUUUAUUAAAAAAAAUUAAAUUUUUUUCCUUACCCUUUUUUUUCUAACAUAUUUCUUCAAAUUUGGUUCUUUUCUUGGAUUCUAACUUUUCUUCAAUUUUUUCAGAACUUUUUUUUUUUUUCCAUUUUCUCUUUUAUUACUCUUUUGAUUCUCGUUUAUGUCUUUCCCUUUCUUUCCUUCUUUUCUCAAUCUAAAAUUUUUGUUUUUAUUGACGCAAUAAAAAUUCGCUUGGCCAAAAAAAAUCACAUCUCUUUCUUUAAAACAUUCUUUUGCCUUUGGCCACAAAAAAGUCACGUCUCCUUUCUCUAGAGCCUUUCAUUUGUCUUUUUUUAAAAUUUUUUAAUUUUUUAAAAUUUUAACCUUUAUCCGAAAAGACAAAAAUCUCUAAAAUACUUUUAAUAAAUUAAAUAAUUCUCUGUACCCAAAGAGAAAAGAUGGUGGCGGAAAGUCUAUUUAUAGAUAAAAUUAUAUGACAAUUAGACAAUGACAUGUCAUAAAUAGUUACAACAAAUUAAGUAAUUUCUUUAUUGUUCUAAAAAGAACCAGUAUCAUGAUACGUAAGUUUAAAUUUUUUUUGGUUUCAAGGGCGGUGUAAAACCUUAUUAUUAUAAGAGAGGAAAAGAAAAGCUUGAUUCGAAAUUAAAUUUUAAUGUCUUCUUAAAAAUUUUUGUGGCUAUUAGGUCAUGAAGCGAAAAACUGUAAAUUUAGAUUAGAUUGCUUGGUGGAGCGACAGGUGAGGAUUUGGACAUGACUCAAUGUACUAGUCACAGCUGUUGCAAUUCCUGCUUUCUGCUACCGCAAGACUUGCAGCCUUAUGUUGUCUUGUCCAAGUAUCAGCCUGAAAAAGCCACUGGCCAUUUAUUCAUCGGUUGUCAGCCCUGGAAUACAACAAAUAAUUUAAAGGGACAGUAAUGUUGACAUGAAUUUGAUUGAAAACAUUGCGGAUCUGAGAGCUAGCAUGCAAGUCAAGAUCUCCAACUUGGGCAAAGGAAUGCCUGGCUAUUUUUCUUCUGGUUGUCACAUAAUCCCAAUUGCAAAACCUUUGUUGUAAGAGAAUUCUUGUUCACCACGUAAUAUUUUUUACAAUGGAUCGAUGUUUGUGGUAAUAUCUGUUUUUCAAAAAAAAAAAUGGGACCAGUAGCCUCUUUUUACGUAAGUGAUCUGUCGCCUCAGCAUAGAAUCAGGCUUCACAUGUAAUCAAAGCUUCACGAAAGUAAAAAGUCGUCCAUUUGUUAUGUUUUUCAACCCUUUGCACUACGGCACCUCUUACAAAAAUGUCGGCUGGUGACUUUUUUUCUCCUUUCAUACAGAUAUUUUCAGGCACUAUAUGUAGUGUUGCAGAACUGCUAAGUUCCUGGAAUAAGUUUAACAGAAACCCAGAAGAAAGAUCGUUAUGUCGAGUUUUUUACAAUUUUUAGAGCACCAUGAAAGAUUUUUCAUGUCAGAUGUCUUUUUCUUCUCCGUGAUAGCCAUCCUCUUCGUAGUCUUACUUGAGCGAUUUUUAAGUCGUUCGAAUAAGAAAAGAAAGCUAAUGUUACCACCUUCUCCGCCGAAACUCCCAAUCAUUGGAAACAUUCACAAAAUCGGGUCGUACCCUCAUCGCUCACUCCGGGCCUUAGCUCAACAAUUUGGCCCUCUCAUGUUGCUCCGCUUUGGCAGUGCGCCUGUGCUUGUUGUCUCCUCCGCUGAUGCUGCCCGUGAGAUCAUGAAAACCAAUGAUCUGACAUUCGCAAACAGACCCAAAUCAAGUACCUUUCAAAAGCUUCUCUAUGAUUACAAAGACGUUUCAACGGCACCUUAUGGUGAUUACUGGAGGCAAAUGAAAAGCAUAUGCGUGCUACAUCUUCUAAGUAACAAAAAGGUUCAGUCCUUUCGCGCUGUAAGAGAAGAAGAAACGGUUCUUGCUGUUGAGAAGAUUAAAAAGUGUAGCACAUCUGCUUUGCCAGUGAAUCUAAGUGAACUCUUUUCUACGGUCACAAACAGUGUUGUCUGCAGAGUCGCUUUAGGAAGAAAGUACAGUGAAGGGGAAGAUGGGAACAAGUUUAAGAAGCUUUUGAGCGAGUUCGUGGAGUUGUUGGGUGGCAUAAAUGUUGGGGACUAUAUUCCUUGGCUUGCUUGGAUAAACCAUGUUAAUGGAUUGAAUGGUAAAGUAGAGAAAGUGGCCAAGGAGUUCGAUGCUUUUUUAAGUGGAGUGCUCGAAGAGCAUAUGAAUCGACAUAACCAGGAAAGGAAAUGAUGAUAUUGGGAUUCAAGAUGAGGAUGAAAAAGAUUUCGUUGAUGUUUUGCUGGGGAUUCAGAGGGAAAACACGGUUGGCUUUCCCAUAGAGGAAGUGAGCAUUAAGGCUCUUAUCUUGGUAAGAACCACUUAAUUCCCUUUCCAAACCCCUUUCCAACUGUGUUUAACAUUUCCAACAAGAAAAGGGGUUGCAGGUGCUUUGAACCCCCACUUGCUGGAUAGCACGUUACUGCGUGAACAAACUGAACUGAAUUCUGCUCUUUACUCUAGCAUUGGAUGUGAUAAGACUAGUUUAUCUACCGGCACCAAGUAGUUUUUUUUUUUUUUUACUUUAUUAUUAUUAUAGUUCCUUAAUUUUAGCUUCACAUUCGAACUUGACAAAUCUUCUUUCCAUGAUAGGAUGCGUUUGCAGCUGGAACUCACACUACAUAUACAGUCCUGGAGUGGGCAAUGACAGAACUGUUGAGGCACCCAGAGAUAAUGAAAGAACUACAAAAAGAGGUCAGGAAAGUUGCCUGUGAAAAAUCGGAAAUUUCGGAGGAUGAUCUGGAUAACAUGCACUACUUAAAAGCUGUGAUCAAAGAGACUCUUCGUUUACAUCCUCCGAUUCCAUUGUUAGUUCCAAGAAUAUCAACAGAAGAUGUCAGGAUCAAUGGCUAUGACAUUGAACGAGGAACUCAAGUUAUUAUCAAUGCUUGGGCAAUCGGAAGAGACCCUAUGUCGUGGGAGAAACCAGAAGAAUUUCUUCCAGAGAGGUUCUUGAACAAUUCCCUAGAUUUCAAAGGACAUCAUUUCGAAUUGAUUCCAUUUGGUUCUGGAAGGAGGAUUUGUCCAGGCAUCCUAUUUGCAAUGAAAAUAAAUGAGCUCUUAUUGGCAAAUCUUGUUCACAAGUUUGAUUGGUCAUUGCCUGGUGGAGCAAAACAGAACGAUUUGGACAUGAAUGAAAGCUUUGGCCUUACCAUACACAAAAAAUCUCCUCUAAUUGCUAUUGCAAAUCCAUGUUGUUGCUAGGGGAAAGGCAAUCCUCAAGUUUUUUUCCCAAUGGAUGGUACUCUGUAAUCUUAUUUCUCAAAAUAAGUUAGUUUUAAACUUAAUUUUCAAAAUAAGAUACAUAUAUCCACGUGUAAUCCAUGUGACCAAUAAAUGACACGUCAUAAAAAAAUGCAUAAUUAUGUUUUCGAGAAAUGCAAUUUGUUUGAGUAAAAUUCUAAAUCGAAGGAUAAAAUUUUAAAAUCACAGAAGAGAAAGAGAAUGAUUAGAAGUAAAGACAAAAAAAUAUUAUCUAUAUUUAUAUUUUGAUACUUAAAUUGCAAGUCAAUUAUAAAAUGUACACCCUAUAUUUGGAGUGUCAAAUGUUUAAGCUAAGCUCUAGGCUAAGGGGUAAAAUUAUGAAAUCACAAAAGAGAAAAAAUGAAGGGACAAAAGCGAAGAGUAUUUUCCUUCAUGUUUCAAUCGAUUGGUCCAAAGGGCCAAAUAGCCGGCUUGAGAUUGACGAUUGAGCUGACAUGAUAGUGUAUACGUAAAGUUGAUUGUCAAUUGACAAUGUUUGACGAGCAAACAAAUCAUUUUACCUUUUGAACGCAAAAAUAUCUCUAACACAACCCCUACAAAUAUAACAUCUUUAGGUGGACUCAAGUAAAUUUGUACUCCUCUAUCAUGUUCACUGCAGUUCUUUCCCAACUAAUCCAUUGUAAAAUUCUUGUCUUGGAAUGUAAUUCAACAUUCGUUCUUUAUUAUUUUGCAUGAUUUCUCUAAUGGUUUUGAUGAUAUUAAGAUCACAAGAUGUGGGUGACUGUUGGAGAUGCUUUUAGUGAUUAAGGAAAAUGAAGAGGCACCGUCAGUUUACCCAUAAUCUGUGCAAGCAUGGCACCAUGAUACAAACAAACCCCAUAAUUCUGCAAGAUCAAUUGAACAUAUCCCCAAAUAGCUUAUCAGAAUUUCCCUUUCUGGAUUAUCGACAUCAGUUUUAUUUAUGGCACGUUGCCAUUCUUCCAUGAGCUUGGUAAUCCAUUCUUUUUUUAAAGGAAUAUGUGUUGAACAUCCCAUUAGAACUCAAUGCCCAAAUAAUUUGAUCCUUUACAUCCAUGUUAAGGUCAAUCAGGAUAGAUCUGAUUUUCCCAAUAAGGUCAACAUCUUUAUCUAAACACAUCUCCAGCCCCUCAUAGAUUUUGUCUCUGUGAUAAUAAUGAAUUUUGUUAUUUUUCUAGUAUUUCACGACUGCUUGCUCAAUUUUGUUCCUGUUUGUGUUAUAUUAUAAUUUGUUUUUUUUUUUUUUUGAAGGGUAUCCUACUACAUAGAGGAGAAAGAGGGGAGGGAUAGGAUUAGAGUUUGGAGGAAGAAGAAUGACUUGUACUUUCUUUAGGUAAAAUGAUGAGGUGGAAUAUAAUUGUGUUAAAUUACCUUAUUUUAAGAAUAAAGUUUUAAAUUACUCUCUUUUAAUAAAUAAGAUUUUAAACAACUUUAGUAUGGGAAAAAAUUAAAUUUGACAAUCUAAAAAUGAAAUAUAAUUCGAUGAUACGAUAUAAUAUAAAAAUGAGAUAUAAAAGUAAUACGAUUUAAAAUUAUAGUAAUAAUUAUAUAUAAAUUUAAUAAAAACAAAAAGAUUUUAUUUUAUAUUUUAGUGUAGACAUGAAUUAUGAUAUAUAAUUUUUGUAUAAAUUAUUAUAUAAAUAUAUAAAUUUUAAUAUUUUAUAUGAUACAAAUAUAUGAAUCAUUAUAUUUUAAAAAUAGCCCCUAGCUUAGUUCUUAUUAUUGAAAAGAAGCCCCAAAUUUGUACUGUUUGUAACAGGCCCUUAACGCUGGGCUUAAUUUUCUCCUACCUUCUGCAUUUGGUAAUGAAUAUUUCUUUAACCAAAAUAAUAAUUUUAAAUUUAGACUUAAUUUUAAUUGAUUCAUGCAAUCAUAAUUUUAUAUGAAUAUAAAAAAAUUGUAAAAGAUUAAAGAUAUUUUAAAAAUCAAUAAUUAUUAUGAUUAAACUUACACAUUGUAAUUAUUCUUGCACUAGAAAAAAAAUAUUUGAUUAUAUCUAAACCAAACAAUUCGUGUAUUGUAUUGUGUAAAAUAUUAAAAAUUUAUAUAUUUUUAUCAUAUUUUAUAUAAAAAUUGACGAAAAUAUAAAAUAUAUUUUUUUGAUUUUGUUAAAUCUAUUUGUAUUUUUUAUUAAAAUUUUAAAUUAUAUUAUUUUCAUAUUUUUUAUUCAUAUUAUUUUUAUAUUUUGUUACUGUAUCUAUUUGAAAUUGCCACAUCUAAUUAUAUCUCAAAGCACUAAGUAAUUUGAUUGUGUAUAUAACAUCAUCAUGUAAUUCUCAAUUAAACUGAUUUUUUUUUUAAAUAGCCUAUAUUUAUUUGUCACUGCAUCUGUUAUAAACUUCAUAUUUUCAGCGACUGUUUCUCCCCUUGAAAUUAUGGUAAUACUUGAUUAUACCCUAAAGCACAUAAUUAGCUAUAAUAAAUAAAAUUAAAUGCUCAAUUUAAUAUCGAAUUACAUAAGGAUUGAAUUACGCCUCUCGCAAACUGCCUUUUUUUUUUUGUUUUUCCUUUCAAUCUUUAUUUUUUGAUUAUUUUUAAUUUUUAAUAUUUUUUUGAAAAUAUCAAGACAGAAAUAUUAUCAAAGAAAUUUGAGGAAACAAUUUUAUUUAGAAUUGUCUAGAGAGGCAUGCAGGCACAUCACCAAGUAAGGUGAAAAAACAAAAGAAAAAUCUAAAAAUUGAUUUAAAAUUAUAAUGUUCAGAUUAAUUUUUUUAUUUGAUUUAGAUUAAAUUUGAAUAUUAAAUGUAUGUAUUAGUUUUGGAUUGAAUUUUAUAUUGAAAUGUGCAAAACUAAAAUAAAUUGAACUGAAUCGAAUCAAAAAAUAUAUUUUUAAAUUUUUAUAUAUUUUUUUAAUUUUUUAUAAAAUAAAGAUAAUAAUUUUAUAUUAAAAUUUAUUUAAAUAUGUUAAUAUUUUAUAUUAAAAUUAUAUAUAAAAAAUUUAAAAUUAAUAAAUUAAUAAAUCGAAUCAAACGGAAUCGAUAAAAUUCAAUUUAUUUUAAUUAAGACAAAAUGAGAAUUAGGUUGAAAUUCAAAUUAAAAUUUAAAAUUUUAUAAUAUUAUAUAAUAUUUAAAAAAAUUAAACGAAAUUCAGUCUGAUCUAAAUUAUCGUCUUCCCUGUCAUAAAGAAAAACAAAAAAACAUACAGCAAUCAUACCUUUAUAACGAUUAAAAGAAGACAAAAAAAAAAAUUCAAUGGCUUGUUUCAACUUUCUUUUGUAAAAGAAUCCAGUCUAUGAACUAUAAAAGAAUAAAAUUAUUCUGAUUGCUUUUACAUGUCCAUUGGUGCUCCACCAUUAAGAUUCAGAAGACAGUGGCUUACCUAGGAAAUAUGAUUAACUCGACUGUUAUCUGAAAUAAUAAAUUUUUUUAAAUUAAAAAUAAAUAAUUUAAUUAUUUGUAAAUUUAUAUCAUAAAAAAUAUUACAAAAUAUAUAUUUAUAUUAUAUUUUAUAUAAAAAUUAUAUAUUACAAUUUGUAUCAAUAUAAAAAUAUAAAAAACUAUAUUUUUAUUUUUAUUAAAUUUAUAUAAUUUUUAAUAAAUUUUUAAUUUUUUAAUAUUAUCUUAAUAUAUUAUACUACAUUAUAUUACAUUAAUGGAUUAGUAUGAGUUACUUGAAACCAACCGAAUUAGGUUUACUUGAUUCGGAUUUAUUCAAUUUUGGUAUUAAUUAGUUAAGAAAAGUGAUUAAUUUGAUUACUUUGAAUAUUUUUUAUGUUUCAAAUUGAUAAUAAAAUUGAUUGAAUUAAUUGAUUUAUUAAUUUAUUUUAAAAUAUCUUUUUAUAAUAUAACAAAUAAAAUAUAUAAUAUAAUAUUUAUUUUAUAAAUAUAAAUAAUUUAUUUUUAAAUAAUUAAAAUUUACGUAAUCCAUUGAACUUGUCCGAUUUAGACUUUAUUUAGAUUAGCAGUGAAAUUGAUUCUAAUAAAAUUAAAAAUAACAAUGAAGAUAAGAUUAAUUAUUUUAAUAGUGAAACUAAAUACUAUAACAAUAAAAUUAAUAUCAAUUAUGAGAUACAUGCUUAAAUAUAAAAAUAAUGACAUAAAUUGUUGGUAAAUGUAGUUAAUUUGAGGAUAAUUGUGAUAAUAAUAUAUUAUCUCACUCACUCUUCACAAAAUGCAAAGCAAAACCACUUAUAACCAUUAAUAUAUAUAUAUAUAUAUAUAUAUAUAUAUUGAUGUUGUAACACUCCUGCACUAGCCAAUAUAUAUGUAUAUUAUAUAAAAAAAAAAACAAAUAUAAUUGGUAUUAAAAAAUUAUUGCAGGAUGAUAAUACUUUUGUGUCCUAUUCCCAACUCUCCAUACUAUUUUUCUCUUUUUUCUAAUAAGUAUUAAAAUGAGCCAUGACCCAUGUCUUGGCAACACAUAUCUACAAUAGUUUUUUAAAAAAAAAAAAGAAUUUGUUACAUUACACUUGCAAUUUUUUAAUAUUUUGAAUGUAAGUGUUUAGAAUUUUGAGUAGUUCUUUGAAAAUAUUGAAGUAAUUAAAAGUAUAUAUUUUUAUUUAUAUUUAUCUAUGCAAUUAGAUCUACACUGUUUAUUAAGAAUAAUUCAAAUUUUAUUAUUAAUGAAUCUAUUUUUUAUGAAAUCUAUAAAUAUAUGAACUUUAUGAAAGCAUAAUCUUAAUUCAAAGUGAAUCAUUGAUUUUGAAUAAUUUUAAUUAAUUAUUGAAGCUUAUGUUUUAAUGAUUGUAUAUUUUUAUAUAUUUAUUAUACUCAUAUUAUUUUUUAUUUAUAUAUAUUCAUAUAUUUUGUAAUUUAUGUAUCUAUAUUUUAUUUAUUUAUAUUUUAUUUGUAUAUUACUUAUAUUCAUUAAUAUAAUUUUUGAAACAAAAAAUUAAAAAAAAAAUCGCAAAUAAGCAUGUGAAAAUAGUGCCUAGUUUGUGCGUUGGGACUAACAUUGAAGUUUACUUUUACUUGUUUCCAUGGUUGGGCCGGUGUUUUAUGUGGACGAGUUUUUUCCUUAUGGGCUUUUAUAGUUUUUACAUCAAGCCUAGAUGUUCAAAUCAACGGCUAUGAUGUAGUAGCUGGAACAGUUAUCUUUACCAAUGCUAGGGCAAUUGGAAAAUAUUACGCAACUUUAAAUUAAAUUUGAUAAUUUAAAAUAUAAUAUAAAAUAAUAUAAUUUAAAAAUAUAAAAUAAUAUAAUUUAAAAUUUUCAUAAAAUUAAAAAAAUUACACUUUAUAUUUUAUUUCUUUAAAAAUUAUAAAAUAUAAAUUUUAUAAAAUAUAUAAUAUAAAAAUAAUAUUUUACAUUAUACGAUAAUAUAAUCAGAUUUAAUUCGGAUACACCCCACAAAUUUUUUUCAAAGAGUUUCUUGAAUAAUCGUUAUAGAUUUUGCAAAGCACGACUUUCAAGUUAGACCUUUGGGAGCAAGCUGGAGGGGUUGCUCAGGAUUGUCGUUUGUAAUUAUGCGUCUUCGAUUUGUUCGAUUAAUUUUAAAUUAAAUUAUUUAAAAUUAAAUUAAUUAAAUUAAAUCAUUUUAUUUUUGAUAAUCAAAUCAAAUUUAUUAAUUUCAAAAUUUAAUCAAUAAAAUUUAAUUAAAUCGAUUUGAUUAAUUUUUUAAUUAAUUGAAUAAUAAAUAUAUUUAAAUUUAAUUAUAUUUUAAACUCUUAAUUUUUCAUAUUUUAAAUACACUAAAUAAAAUUAUCUAAUAAAAUAUUUAAAUAUAAAAAUAAAUUGUUUAGAAUUUUAUCAACUUAUAAAAUAAAAUGAUAAAAUAACCCAUUUCACAUAUUUUUUUACUUUAUAUUUGAAUUAUAAUGCAUUUUGAUUAAAAUUUUUUUAACCUACUUAAUAAAAAAUUUACAUUUUAUAAAAUUAUUUCAGUUAAUUAAUUAAAAUUAAUUUAAUAAUCAAUUGAUUAAUUGACUUAAAUUAAAUCAACCAAUUAAUUUAAUUAAAAUCAAAUUAUGAACUCCCUCCCUCCCUCGUUUGGCAGGGUUAUGAUUGAGAUUAUCCUGGCAAAUCUUGUUUACAAGUUUGAUUGGUCAUUAGAUUCCAUCCUCACGCUUCGCUGCGAGUAAUGCAAGUGAAGGUUUAACUCGACGAGAAUGAUUGAAUCUUUGUAUUGUAUUUACAUCAAUUUUCUUAUGUGUAAACAAUAUAACAUCUAUGGAGACUUUUAAAGUUACAAAUUCACUAUCAACUCUUAUAUCUUUCCGUCAAUGUUUAUUAUAAUUACAGGUUAUUAUACUUCUUAAUUAGACCAACUUAACGUUAUAGUUAUUUUGUUUUACUACUGUUUGGAUUACUCUUUUUAGGUUUUAUGCAUUUUUGUCUCGAGGAUGGUAGACAAAAAUUAAGAAAUUCAAAGAUCUCAUAUAAACUAUGGGUCAAACCUAAAUUUGUGAUAUAUAUGUAAAAGUAUGAACUCAAAUUUGUUAUACACUUUUUAUGAAAUAAAAUCGUAAAAUUUUUAUAUUAAAAUACACAAUAUUUCUCAAAUUAAAUAUGAAUCUUCGUAAUUUAAAAAUUUUUUAAAAAGUAUGUGAUAAACCCACCAAUACCGAAAUAGAGAUGUCUUAAAGGAGAACAAAUGAAAACCAGCAUAUGCACAAACUACAAUAAAAUUCAUCAAAAACUAAACAUUGGAGAAGAAGAAUAUAGUGCAAAAAGAAUUAAAAAAAAAAAGUAUGCAUAUAGAGAAAAACAACUAAAAGAGAGAUAGUUUAAUGUUAAAGCUACACAAUUAAAAGAAUGCUGUAAAAUUAAAUUAAAUUAAAUUAAAUUAAAAGAAAAAUAAUAGUUGGAGCAAGAAAAAAACAACAAAUCUCGAAAGGCAAAUAUAGGAAGAAAAUAAAUAUAUUAAUAAAGGGAAUGACCUUUAAUAUUUAAAUUACAUUGAAUAAGAGGAUGAAGCAACAUGCAAAAAUAGCCCACUAUAAUUAACUAAUAGAUGUGGUACCAAUGAAAAUAUUUUAACCCUUAAGUGGUAAAAAAUAAUAAUUAUAAAUAUAGUAUUGAUCUCAAUCAUAACAUAGCCCAAACAUGAGCAAUCAUGUAAGUUAGGAGAGUAUAAAAUGCAAUGUUAAUGGCAUACUAAUCCUAUGAUGCAUUGGAUAUGAUAACUAUCCAUUGCCUACAUAGAACUACUUAAUUAACCUAAGUAAACAUGAGAAAAGGCAAAAGUGCCACCAGUGUCAUCAAAAGGAUUUCAGGCAAGGAGGAUAGUUUAAAAUUUAAACAACAAUAGAAAACAUCAAUAAAAAAGAAUUGAAAAGCAUUGAUAUAAUAAUUUGACCUAAUUUAAUUUUCAUCCUUAAGUAGAACAACUUAUAUGUUGAGCCACUUUUACUGUUUCAAUACAAUUUUUUUAAUGCAAAUGCAAAAGAACAAUGGAAUAAUUUUAAACAAAUAAUGAUGAGAAAAAAAAAUAAUUUCUAAACUUACAAAAAAAAUAUGAGAUAUCCAUAAAAAGAAGAAUAUAAUCAAAAUAAAAAUAAAACAGAAAGCCUAAAAUUUUAAACAAAUAAAAAAUUGUAAAUAGAAAAAGCAAAGAGGUUAAACAUACCUGCAGUAUUAUAUUAAAAAUCACCAAUGCAAUCAUAGAAAACACAACAUAAUAAAAUUAAAAGUCAUUUAAACAAAAAUAUUUUUAAAAAAUAAUUUUAGCAUCUAAUAAAAAUCUAAGGAAACUAAAAUCAAAGCAUAGUAGAAAAGAAUUUUCUAAAAGUAAAUGAAAUAAAAAAAAAAAGACAAAAAAAAGACCUGAAAAAGAAUCAUCUUAUCUGUCUAUUGACAAAACUCAUCUCUCUCUCUCUCUCUUUUUUUUUUUUUUAGCUCAAUCUUAUUAAAUAAAAUCCUUAAUAUCCAGUCAAGUAAUGUCACAUGAUGCUGACUAGAUAAGAAUAAGAAGAAUUCAAGAAUAAUAUAGAAACCUCUAAAAGAUGUUAAAAUGUUUUUAUUUAUCUAAAAAAUAAUAAUAUUUUAAGAAUAUUAAAAAAAUCAAAAUUAUGAUAAAAAACUCAAAAUAAAAAAUCAAGCCAAUCAAGAAAAAUUUAAGGCAAAUAACGUUAUAAAUCGAACUACGCAAAAUUCUUUUUUUUUUCUUCUUAUUUUUCACUUCAUUACCUUCGAUCCCUAACGAAGACGACGCUUAACAUCGAUCUAGGCUUGGUGAGGGUUAGAGGGCAUCUCCCAUCUUCUCAACCUACAUAUACAAAUGUCAACAUGAAUCAUACAAAUUUCUGCUUAAAUCAACUUAUCAACUUUAUAAAAAGCAAUCACAAAAUAACGGUUUCUCAUUUUUAUCUAAGAAAAAAGAUUUUUCAAAUUUAAAAAAAAAAUUAAAAUAAAAUAAAUAAUUCAACAUAAAGCAUACGAAGAAUAAAGCAGUCCUUAAACAGUCCAUACACCUAUACACCACAACAUUUAC
rnacentral:lncRNA from 1 species